CUGUCAGCAGACAGAAGUGAUAGUAUGCUAGAGAAGAGACGGCUAACUCUGUGCCAGCAGCCGCGGUAAUACAGAGGUCUCAAGCGUUGUUCGGAUUUACUGGCGUAAAGGGUGCGUAGGUGGCGAUGUAAGUUGAGUGUGAAAUCCUAGGGCUUAACCUUAGAACUGCACUCAAUACUGCAUUGCUCGAGGAUUGUAGAGGAGAAUGGAAUUCACAAUGUAGCAGUGAAAUGCGUAGAUAUCGUGAGGAAGACCAGUGGCGAAGGCGAUUCUCUGGGCAAUUCCUGACACUGAGGCACGAAGGCCAGGGGAGCAAACGGGAUUAGAUACCCCGGUAGUCCUGGCAGUAAACGGUGCACGUUUGGUGUGGGAGGAUUCGACCCCUUCCGUGCCGGAGCUAACGCGUUAAACGUGCCGCCUGGGGAGUACGGUCGCAAGAUUAAAACUCAAAGAAAUUGACGGGGGCCCGCACAAGCGGUGGAGUAUGUGGCUUAAUUCGAUGCAACGCGAAGAACCUUACCUGGUCUUGACAUGCAUUGUGUCUACGAUGAAAGUCGUAUAGCUAGUAGCAAUAUUAGCGCUUUGCACAGGUGCUGCAUGGCUGUCGUCAGCUCGUGUCGUGAGAUGUUGGGUUAAGUCCCGCAACGAGCGCAACCCCUGUGUCCAGUUGCCCGCAAGGGAUCUCUGGACAGACUGCCCUGUGAAACGGGGAGGAAGGUGGGGACGACGUCAAGUCAGUAUGGCCCUUACGGCCAGGGCUGCACACGUACUACAAUGCCCAGUACAGAAUGAACCGAAACCGCGAGGUGGAGGAAAUCUAUAAAACUGGGCCCAGUUCGGAUUGGAGGCUGCAACUCGCCUCCAUGAAGUUGGAAUCGCUAGUAAUGGCGCAUCAGCUACGGCGCCGUGAAUACGUUCCCGGGCCUUGUACACACCGCCCGUCACAUCAUGGGAGUCAUUUGAGCCGAAGCACGCACGCUAACCGCAAGGAGGCAGCGUCUACGCUAUGAGUGGUAACUGGGAUGAAGUCGUAACAAGGUAGCCGU
rnacentral:rRNA from 1 species